UACAGAGGUCCCAAGCGUUGUUCGGAUUCACUGGGCGUAAAGGGUGCGUAGGUGGUGAGGUAAGUCGGAUGUGAAAGCUCGGAGCUCAACUCCGAAAUGGCAUUGGAAACUACCUUGCUCGAGGGUUGGAGGGGGACUGGAAUGCUUGGUGUAGCAGUGAAAUGCGUAGAUAUCAAGUGGAACACCAGUGGCGAAGGCGAGUCCCUGGACAACUCCUGACACUGAGGCACGAAAGCUAGGGGGAGCAAACAGG
rnacentral:rRNA from 1 species